rnacentral:rRNA from 1 species
UACUCGAGUGGCGAACGGGUGAGUAACACGUGGGUGAUCUGCCCUGCACUUCGGGAUAAGCCUGGGAAACUGGGUCUAAUACCGGAUAGGAGCCAUUUUUAGUGUGAUGGUUGGAAAGUUUUUUCGGUGUAGGAUGAGCUCGCGGCCUAUCAGCUUGUUGGUGGGGUAAUUGCCUACCAAGGCGACGACGGGUAGCCGGCCUGAGAGGGUGGACGGCCACAUUGGGACUGAGACACGGCCCAG